rnacentral:rRNA from 1 species
UACGUAGGGAGCGAGCGUUGUCCGGAAUUACUGGGUGUAAAGGGAGCGUAGGCGGGUAUGCAAGUAUGUUGUUAAAACUAUCGGCUCAACCGGUAGAUGCGGCAUAAACUGCAUAUCUUGAGUGAAGUAGAGGCAGGCGGAAUUCCCAGUGUAGCGGUGAAAUGCGUAGAUAUUGGGAGGAACACCAGUGGCGAAGGCGGCCUGCUGGGCUUUUACUGACGCUGAGGCUCGAAAGUGUGGGGAGCAAACAGGAUUAGAUACCCUGGUAGUCCACACUGUAAACGAUGAUUACUAGGUGUGGGGGGACUGACCCCUUCCGUGCCGGAGUUAACACAAUAAGUAAUCCACCUGGGGAGUACGGCCGCAAGGUUGAA